GAUGAACGCUAGCGGCAGGCUUAAUACAUGCAAGUCGAGGGGUAACAGGAGAGCUUGCUUUUGCUGACGACCGGCGCACGGGUGCGUAACGCGUAUGCAACCUACCUAUAACUGAGGGAUAGCCCAGAGAAAUUUGGAUUAAUACCUCAUAGUACUGUAAGAUCGCAUGGUUUAACAGUUAAAGAUUUAUUGGUUAUAGAUGGGCAUGCGUAUGAUUAGCUAGUUGGUAAGGUAAUGGCUUACCAAGGCGACGAUCAUUAGGGGUUCUGAGAGGAAGAUCCCCCACACUGGCACUGAGAUACGGGCCAGACUCCUACGGGAGGCAGCAGUAGGGAAUAUUGGUCAAUGGAGGCAACUCUGAACCAGCCAUGCCGCGUGCAGGAAGACGGCCUUCUGGGUUGUAAACUGCUUUUAUAAACGAGGAAAAGAUGUACGUGUACAUUUAUUGACGUUAGUUUAUGAAUAAGGACCGGCUAACUCCG
rnacentral:rRNA from 1 species